rnacentral:rRNA from 1 species
AGCAGCCGCGGUAAUUCCAGCUCCAAUAGCGUAUAUUAAAGUUGUUGCAGUUAAAAAGCUCGUAGUUGAAUUUCGGGAUCAAUAUGUCGGUCGUGCCUUCGGUACGUACUGGUAUCAUUGGUCUCUCCUUUCUGACGAACCAUGAUGUCAUUAAUUUGGUGUUAUGGGGAGUUAGGACUGUUACUUUGAAAAAAUUAGAGUGUUUAAAGCAGGCUUUAGCUUGAAUACAUUAGCAUGGAAUAAUGAAAUAGGACGUUCGAACCUAUUUUGUUGGUCUAUUUUGUUGGUUUCUAGGAUCAACGUAAUGAUUAAUAGGGAUAGUUGGGGGCAUUAGUAUUCAAUUGUCAGAGGUGAAAUUCUUGGAUUUAUUGAAGACUAACUACUGCGAAAGCAUUUGCCAAGGAUGUUUUCAUUAAUCAAGAACGAAAGUUAGGGGAUCGAAGACGAUCAGAUACCGUCGUAGUCUUAACCAUAAACUAUGCCGACUAGGGAUCGGAUGAUGUUAAUUUUUUAAUGACUCAUUCGGCGCCUUACG